UGUGUGAAUACUACUUACUACUGCCUAAGAAUAAUUCAGUUCAGGUUCAGGAUGGACAUUGUGUAAUGUCCCCGUAUUUCCAUUUGUUACACUGGAUUCUAUCAACACUCAGUUUUAAAAGUAGAAUACAUCAUGCAUGCGGAUUGGUGUAUGUGAUUUAAUUCUAUGCCCAUGCUGAUUGUUUUGCUGUUGAUACUGUGUUGCAAUGGUCCAAUGGCAAAUUGGCAAUUCUAUCCUUAGAAGUCUCUUUUCUUUUUCUUUUUUAAAAAAUGUGCAAAAAUAUCAGGGGAGAACAACUAUGCGAGAUAAAAAAACUGGUUACACACCUCGAUAUGCUGAGAUUGUUUUCUGUUAUUCUAGUGGUCGCUCCUCCUUUGGUGCAGUGUCCAUUGCAAAUUGGCAAGUUGAGGCUUUUGAUCAUGUAUAUAAUGUUUCCCAAGUUUUUUGGGCUCAUUAAUUUAUUGUGCAAUAUCAAUAGGGGCCUCACAGUUCUAUGUCAAUCUAUCACUGCACUUAUGCACUUCUCUUCUAAUACUGUUCUUUUCAAUUACAUGCUUGUCUCAACCAAAUAUCAUGACCAUAGAAACAAAUUCUUAUAUCUGUACUUGUCGAUGGUCCCGAAAGUGUACAGUGCUACAAUAAUCUUUGGAUUGUUGCCUCCACAUUUUCUUCAUUAAGUGAAUUAUCUCUUUUGCACUUCUUUUGAAUGUAGAACAAGGUUUAAAAUAGCGGCCUAUAGCCUUUUGGAGGACCUAAAGCUACGAUAUUUCACUUUUAGAUGCUAUUAUAGCUACAACCGUUAUAGCCCGAUUUAGCUCUUCUAAAUGUCAUAGCUUUAGCGCUAAAUAGCCACACUAUUUCUAUUUUUCAGAUUCCAGGCCAUCCCACCAGUUCUGCCACCCAAAUCCAUCUCUUCACCACCAUCCGAUGUAGCCUCAUCAAUCUCUGCUAUGGCGGAACCCAACACAUCCGACCUAGUCACCAUCAUCCAAUCCCUUGCAGCAACGGUGGAAUCCCUCAAGCUUUCGGUCGCCGAACUCCAGCAGGACCGCCGAACCGAGUCCUCUGCCCUGGACGGGAAGGGACAACACACCGACGAUCAUCACCAGGAUCGACCCCCCGCGGUUCCAGAACGCAUCAUCGACGAGGAAUGCGUGUGGAUGGCCUCCUACAAUCUCGACGACAUCGCCCAACUGUAAUUUAUCCAAAUACAGCAAGAUGAGGGCGCUCCAUCAUGGCGCCGCUUCUCCGAACACCUGUACCUGCACUUUGGACCCCUCUGCGUACAAACCCGCUCCGCGAGCUUACUGCAUGCCGCCAAACGGGCUCGGUGGUGGACUACCAGGACCGCUUUUAAGCCCUCUUGCCACGCGCGAGCCAUCUCACGAAGACGCAACAUGUCCAACUCUCCACUGCAGGCCUCCAACCGCCGCUCAGCCUCGAUGUCGAGAUCCACAAUCCCCAAUCCUUGUUCGUCGCCAUGAGCCUCGCCAGGAAGAUGGAACUCCGGGAACAAAUCACAGCGCAAACCACGCCGCAAUGGGCCACGGGCCGUGGUAUCCUGCCGACGUCGCGGGCCACCUAGGCGCCACCGACGGCGACGACGGUUCCCCCGAACACCACCAUCACCAUUGAAGGUCGGCCGGUCAAGAAGCUCUCUCAUGCGGAGAUGGAGGAACGCCGUCGGCUCGGCCUUUGCUACAACUGCAACGAUAAGUUCAGCCAUGGACACAAUAAAGUCUGGGGUCUAAAGUCCUAGUAUAUAUAAGAUCAGUCUUAAGUAACUAAACUGUUUGAUUUAUAUGAUCUCAAAUAUCUAAGCAUUGCCCUGCCCCAUGGGGAAAAGAAACAACUGUUGAGGACUUGAGAGAAAUGGAUUAUUUGCUUGAUAUUGGUGAAGCGUUUUCAAGCCUUGGUGUUGACACAAUCAUAUAGCCAUGCGGUACUGUUCACAAGCCUCAGCGUAGAGCAUAGUGCAUGACAGGCCUUGACAUGAUGUGGCUAUCAUCCACUAGAUAAAGAUGUGUAUGAUACUGAUUAAUGAGGUUGAACAACUCCUUAUAAUUAUAUGAGGUUUCAGUAUUCUACAU